rnacentral:rRNA from 1 species
CCUACGGGAGGCAGCAGUAGGGAAUCUUCCGCAAUGGACGAAAGUCUGACGGAGCAACGCCGCGUGAACGAUGAAGGCCUUCGGGUCGUAAAGUUCUGUUGUUAGGGAAGAACAAGUGCUAGUUGAAUAAGCUGGCACCUUGACGGUACCUAACCAGAAAGCCACGGCUAACUACGUGCCAGCAGCCGCGGUAAUACGUAGGUGGCAAGCGUUGUCCGGAAUUAUUGGGCGUAAAGCACGCGCAGGCGGUUUCUUAAGUCUGAUGUGAAAGCCCCCGGCUCAACCGGGGAGGGUCAUUGGAAACUGGGAAACUUGAGUGCAGAAGAGGAAAGUGGAAUUCCAAGUGUAGCGGUGAAAUGCGUAGAGAUUUGGAGGAACACCAGUGGCGAAGGCGACUUUCUGGUCUGUAACUGACGCUGAGGCGCGAAAGCGUGGGGAGCAAACAGGAUUAGAUACCCUGGUAGUCCGACGCUAGUAACGAUAGAGUGCUAGUAGUUAGGUAGGGUUCCGUCCGUUUACGUUGUCGUGUAAGUUAACGUACUAUUAAGUACACCUCCGCCGUCGGGGAGGUACGGUCGGCGAAGACGUAGAACGUACGAAAGGAAAGUUAGUACGGCGUGAGACGUCGCCGAACGGACGACCGACGAGGGGAGGUUAGG